rnacentral:lncRNA from 1 species
GCAUGCAGGGGCCAUUGUGACAUAUAGCCAUGCCAAUUGCCUAGGUGAAGUUUGUCUCCUCUCUUGCCUAAGCCCUUUCUACAGCGGGGAUUUAGAUGUAUCACCGAAACAAGCCUCCAGGUGAUAUUUUGCCAUGUACCUGAGACCAUAUCAAAGACCUAAUAACAACUCUUGUACCUGGAGCCAGGACAUGUGCAGGAUGGUGACUCUCAUCCCUGAACCUUUCCAUAGGUGUUAUUGUGACAUAUACCUUUGCCCAACUCCUGAGUGAUUUAAUAAUCCUGCCUAGUUACAGCAUAUAGAUGACAUUUUGACAUAUACCUGGGCCAAGAACCUUGCUGAUUUGACCCUCCUCUCUUAGCAGCCUCCUCAGAAGGGAUCAUAACAUUUCUCUGGACCCAUUGUCUAGACUCUGCCAAAAGGGGAUUAUUACAUACUGCAGAGCCCAGCACCCAGGGCACAGCACCCGGAUGAUAUUACUCUUCUGCCCGGGUUCUUCAUAAAAAGAAAAUUAUGGCACAUUUCAUAUUGCUGGGCCCAGCACCCUUAUGAUGUGACUCUUCUGCCUGUGCUGGAGCCACCGAAGGUAUUUUGAAAUAUCUUGGGCUGGUUAUGUACAUGUUUUGGCUCUCAUAACUUGACUGGGUUUUUUCCACAUGUGGGAUAGUGUCAUAUUGCUGGAUUAGAAUUAUAAUAAUGUGACUCUUCUGCCUGAGCCCUGCAACGGGAUACUAUCACAUAUCUCUGGACCUAACAGCUAGGUGAUAUGUCUCUCCAGCCUGUGCCCUGCCCCCAGAUGACAUUUUGAAAUAUCACUAACACUAGCUUCUAGGUAAUGUAACUCUCCUCUCCUGCCUCGGUGUAGGAGAUUGGUCAGGGUGGUGGAAAAAACUGCAGAAAGAUGCAAAUCUUCUUUGAAGGCCAGAAGUUUUUAUACAAAACCUUCAGAAUAGGAUUUGGCUUGAAGCAGGCAGAUUCUCUUAUCCGGUGCCUGAAAGCUUAAGUUAGAUAACAAGGGGAUGUUAAGAAACUGAUCUAGAUAAGUUAGUUUACUUAGGCCUCGGAACCUGGCCUUUAAUCAUUGGCAAAACUGCUCUCUUCAGGGAGGGCAACCAUGUUAACUAUCCCCAAGUGUGAUGACUCAAGGCCUUUGUCAUUAAAUCUAUACUGCAUAAAUGCCCACAGUGCCAGCUUGUGAGGGCUGUGGCUGCUGACUCUUUACAGCACCCUCCUCAGGGUCUGUAAGUGGCCUGGUCCCCUAGCGUGCUCUUUCACUGGAUACCUGUGUCUGAGUGCAUUCCUUCAUACGUCGUUCAGCCAGGGUCUGUGGGUCAGACCCAGAAGGUGGUGCCCCAUGUGAGGAACACUGCAACAAAUCACCACAGAACUCUCAAAAAUGAAGGUAAAUAGACUGCACAGUCAGUAAGUCAGUCUUUGGUGCCCGCUCAGGAUUUCCAAGUUCGAGGGCAUUGUUCAGGCUGGGGUUUCAUCAUGGGACAGCAGUUAUCAGCACAAUAGAAGCAGUAUAUAAAAGUAUUGAAACAGCUGCUUAAAGCUAGUGGAGCCUCGGUUUCACAAGCUCAAUUAAGGGACCUAAUGCAAACUGUUGUAUCCCAUAACCCAUGGUUCCUGGAAGAAGGUAUGCUAGAUGUAGAGCUCUGGGAACAGGUGCGGAGAAAUCUUAAACAACAUCAUGUGCAAGGGCAAUGGGUCCCAGUAACAUCUUUAACGUUAUGGGCUUUAGAACAGUUCUGGUCCUGCUCUACACAGAAGAGCCUAGACAGGGAAGGGAGGAAGAACCAUCACCUACCUUACUGCCUCCUUAUCCCUCAGCCCCGCCAUCACUGGGCCAAAAUAACAAAGAGGAAAUGGAGGUUGUGCCUGAGCCUGCUCCUCCAAUAGACUGAAUAAAAGACAAGGGAUACACUACAGCUAUGGGACCCUGUCUUUGGCAAGUGGCAUUAGAAGGGGAGCUCUUACCCUGUCCGGUAAUGCAAGAUCAACAAGGCAAUCAGGUUCUCUUUGAAUUCCAGCAUGAUGCAUCGAACCGUACCAUGACAUGGCUAGGACCCAACCUGGUACCAGAAAUGAAGAAAAUGACCCUACAGGACCCACAGCCCUGGACGCUGUGGCUUCCUUGGACAACACAGGCCCCAGACAUUAUGCUGAAGAAGCAGAAGGCUUAGCAAAUCCUGCUCCAAGCCGAAAUACCUGUCACUCCAAAUAAUUUGUUCCAUUUUUAUUCUCUCACUCUGCCUACAACUGGUACCUGCUACACUCUAUUGGGCUCAUCUCUUAAAUCCAUCUUUCUUCUGCCCUGUUACUUAGACAAACACCCACUUCCCAGCUUCUAACAACGUGACGGCUUGGCUAAAAGGGAUUAAUAUACCUUCAGUGGGGUUCCGUAGCAAUGGCACACAUCAGACUAAGGUACCAGGUCACUCCUUGAUUGGAAAAUAAUGUUGCUAAUAAUACUCAUGUUUGUCUUAUGUUAUUUACUAAUUCUAGGAUGAAAAGCCAGAAUACAAGCAGUGACCACCACACCUGACAGACCUCUUGCUGCACAUAUCUGUACUCUCCAAUUAACAAAACCUGAUGCUAAAAACAGAAAAGAGGGGAGAUGUAGGAGAUUGGUCAGGGUGGUGGGAAAAAUUGUAGAAAGAUGAAACCUUGGAAGGCUGGAAGGUUUUACAAAAGCUUCAGAAUAGGAUUUGGCUGAAGGCAGCCAGAUUCUCUUAUCCUGUGCCUUAAAGCUUAAGUUAGAUAACAAGGGGAUAUAAAGAAACUGAUCUAGGUAAGUUAGUUUACUUAGGCCUUGGAACCUGGCCUUUAAUCAUCUGCAGGACUGCUCUCCAGGGAGGGCGACUAUGUUAAUUAUCCACAAGUGUGUUAACUCAAAGCCUUUGUUAUUAAAUUUAUACUGAAUAAAUGCCUGCAGUGCCAGCAUGUCAGGGCCAUGGCUGCUGACUCUUUAUGGCACCCUCCUCAGUGUAUGUAAGCUGCCUGGUCUGUUAGCUCGCUGUUUCACUGGAUAUCUGUGUCUGAGUGCAUUUCUUCAUCUGUCACUCGGUCAGUGUCUGUGGGUUGGACCAGGUAGGAACUGAAAACCAAACACCACAUGUUCUCACUCAUAAGUGGGAGUUGAACAAGGAGAACACAU